UUCUUUCCACACAAUGUAAAACCUCCUCGUUCGUGCAGCAAAGGCUUACUUCUCCUCAGAUUUAAGUUUUAUGAGCUUUGGGUCGUUGUUCUCUUUAUUUGUCUAUAAAAGUUAGGGUUUUGAUGUUGCUGUAAUGAAGAUAUGGUUUGAUUGUUUCGGCUUCUUUCUCCUCAAAUUAAUCGCACAUCUGUUGAAGUGCAACACUCCCCUCAUUCAAAAUUUGGGUCUUUGAUCUAUUAAAGUUUUGGUCGUUAUUCUCUUCGUUGCUCUGUAUAAGGUUGGGUCGUUCUUCUCUUCGUUUCUCUGUACAAGUUUGGGUUUUGAAAGAAGAUACCAAGAUUUGUAAUUGGUUAGGUGCUUUCCUCUAAGAGAGGAAGCCAGGGAUGAAAGAAGUACUUUGGAAAGCUAUCCGGGCAAGAUAUAAAGUUGAUAAACAAUGGCAGAAGCAUCAAAUCUUUGGGAACAUGGGUGCAAUUUGGAGGGCUUCAAAAUCAAGAUUACUUUACCAAGUUAAGAAGGCCAAAACUGAAGAAGAAAGACUAAAAUUGAAGCCUGAUAACAUCAAAUCAGUUGUAGAGUGGAAAGCUUUUGUAAGGGAGAAAACAAGUGCAGCUUUUUAGGAAAGAAGUCAAAAGUAUCAAAACAUGAUGAAGAAACUACUUCCACAUACAACCAGUCGCAAAGGAUAUGCUCACUUGAUUAAAGACAUGAAUGCAAGUAGUUUGAGCAAAACAACCGGACGAUUUCUUGUGGAGGCCAACGAGUGAGAUGAGUACCAUUGAAGAAGC